rnacentral:sRNA from 1 species
AAGAAGGAAAAAAAACAUGUUUUCUUUAAUAUAACUUUUAGGGAGAAAACAAAACUCUACGAUUGUGAACUUAAGGAGAAAACAAAUUGGAACAGUUUGUGUUUUGUUUUGUGUUUUGUUGGAUUC